GACGCACGCUGGCGGCGUGCUUAACACAUGCAAGUCGAACGGAAAGGCCCUGCUUUUGUGGGGUGCUCGAGUGGCGAACGGGUGAGUAACACGUGAGUAACCUGCCCUUGACUUUGGGAUAACUUCAGGAAACUGGGGCUAAUACCGGAUAGGAGCUCCUGCUGCAUUGUGGGGGUUGGAAAGUUUCGGCGGUUGGGGAUGGACUCGCGGCUUAUCAGCUUGUUGGUGGGGUAGUGGCUUACCAAGGCUUUGACGGGUAGCCGGCCUGAGAGGGUGACCGGCCACAUUGGGACUGAGAUACGGCCCAGACUCCUACGGGAGGCAGCAGUGGGGAAUAUUGCACAAUGGGCGGAAGCCUGAUGCAGCAACGCCGCGUGCGGGAUGACGGCCUUCGGGUUGUAAACCGCUUUCGCCUGUGACGAAGCGUGAGUGACGGUAAUGGGUAAAGAAGCACCGGCUAACUACGUG
rnacentral:rRNA from 1 species